rnacentral:rRNA from 1 species
UACGUAGGGGGCAAGCGUUGUCCGGAAUCAUUGGGCGUAAAGAGCGUGUAGGCGGCCCGGUAAGUCCGUUGUGAAAGUCGAGGGCUCAACCCUCGAAUGCCGGCGGAUACUGUCGGGCUAGAGUCCGGAAGAGGCGAGUGGAAUUCCUGGUGUAGCGGUGAAAUGCGCAGAUAUCAGGAGGAACACCAAUGGCGAAGGCAGCUCGCUGGGACGGUACUGACGCUGAGACGCGAAAGCGUGGGGAGCAAACAGGAUUAGAUACCCUGGUAGU